AGCGAACGCUGGCGGCAGGCCUAACACAUGCAAGUCGAACGAACUCUUCGGAGUUAGUGGCGGACGGGUGAGUAACACGUGGGAACGUGCCUUUCGGUUCGGAAUAACUCAGGGAAACUUGUGCUAAUACCGAAUGUGCCCUUCGGGGGAAAGAUUUAUCGCCAUCAGAGCGGCCCGCGUCUGAUUAGCUAGUUGGUGAGGUAAUGGCUCACCAAGGCUACGAUCAGUAGCUGGUCUGAGAGGAUGAUCAGCCACAUUGGGACUGAGACACGGCCCAAACUCCUACGGGAGGCAGCAGUGGGGAAUCUUGCGCAAUGGGCGAAAGCCUGACGCAGCCAUGCCGCGUGAAUGAUGAAGGUCUUAGGAUUGUAAAAUUCUUUCACCGGGGACGAUAAUGACGGUACCCGGAGAAGAAGCCCCGGCUAACUUCGUGCCAGCCGCCGCGGUAAUAC
rnacentral:rRNA from 1 species